rnacentral:rRNA from 1 species
UGGGGAAUAUUGGACAAUGGGCGCAAGCCUGAUCCAGCCAUGCCGCGUGUGUGAAGAAGGCCUUCGGGUUGUAAAGCACUUUUGUCCGGAAAGAAAGCGAAUAGGCGAAUACCCGGUUUGGCUGACGGUACCGGAAGAAUAAGCACCGGCUGACUUCGUGCCAGCAGCCGCGGUAAUGCGAAGGGUGCAAGCGUUACUCGGAAUUACUGGGAGUAAAGCGUGCGUAGGCGGUCUGUUAAGUCUGCUGUGAAAUCCCCGGGUUCAACCUGGGAAUGGCAGUUGAAACUGGCGGGCUAGAGUACGGUAGAGGAUGGUGGAAUUCCCGGUGUAGCGGUGAAAUGCGUAGAGAUCGGGAGGAACAACUGUGGCGAAGGCGGCCAUCUG